AGUAACGCGUGGAUAACCUGCCUCACACUGGGGGAUAACAGUUAGAAAUGACUGCUAAUACCGCAUAAGCGCACAGUACCGCAUGGUACAGUGUGAAAAACUCCGGUGGUGUGAGAUGGAUCCGCGUCUGAUUAGCCAGUUGGCGGGGUAACGGCCCACCAAAGCGACGAUCAGUAGCCGACCUGAGAGGGUGACCGGCCACAUUGGGACUGAGACACGGCCCAA
rnacentral:rRNA from 1 species